AUGAACGCUGGCGGCGUGCCUAAUCCAUGCCAGUCGAGCGAACGGACGAGAAGCUUGCUUCUCUGAUGUUAGCGGCGGACGGGUGAGUAACACGUGGGUAACCUACCUAUAAGACUGGGAUAACUUCGGGAAACCGGAGCUAAUACCGGAUAAUAUUUUGAACCGCAUGGUUCAAAAGUGAAAGACGGUCUUGCUGUCACUUAUAGAUGGAUCCGCGCUGCAUUAGCUAGUUGGUAAGGUAACGGCUUACCAAGGCAACGAUGCAUAGCCGACCUGAGAGGGUGAUCGGCCACACUGGAACUGAGACACGGUCCAGACUCCUACGGGAGGCAGCAGUAGGGAAUCUUCCGCAAUGGGCGAAAGCCUGACGGAGCAACGCCGCGUGAGUGAUGAAGGUCUUCGGAUCGUAAAACUCUGUUAUUAGGGAAGAACAUAUGUGUAAGUAACUGUGCACAUCUUGACGGUACCUAAUCAGAAAGCCACGGCUAACUACGUG
rnacentral:rRNA from 1 species